rnacentral:RNase_P_RNA from 1 species
GGAGUCCAAAAUGCGGCCGCCGUUGCCCCGGUGCCAGCCAUCGGGCGCAAGGGAGGAAAGUCCGGGCUCCACAGAGCAGGAUGCUGGCUAACGGCCAGUGGGGGCGACCCCAAGGAAAGUGCCACAGAAAAUACACCGCCGAUGGAGGGCCGGCUUGCCGGCGCUCACAGGUAAGGUUGAAAUGGUGGGGGUUCCGGUCAUGCCGGACCUUAAUGUAAGAGCCCACCGCGGGCCUGGUGACAGGCCCGGCAAGGUAAACCCCAUCCGGAGCAAGUCCAAAUAGGGCGGCGUUCAAGGUUGCUCGCCGAGCCGCCGGGUAGGAUGCUUGAGCGUGCCGGAAACGGCCCGCCUAGAUAGAUGGCCGCAACCGCUCUCCCUUUUGGGAUGGCGGCACAGAACCCGGCUUAUUGAGGGGUUCCAGUU